AUGAUGGCUGAUAUGUUUGUUGCUGAUGUGAAAUCUUCUACAUCAUCAAUUGCAAUUGAAAAUGUAUAUAAUUCAGAUCAGAGUGGGUUCCAAUUAGAAAUGCAUUCUGGAAGAACAUUAGCAGUUGAAGGAGAAAAGCAAGUGCAAUGCCUAGUACAGUCAGUUUCAUCAACAACGCAUAGUUACACUAUACAACCACUUAUAUCAGCUACUGGACAACUUCUCUCACCGCUUUUUCUUGUUUUAAAAGAAUCAACUGGUCAAUUUGGCCCUGUUGUAGAAAAAAACUUAUUUAGACCAGAAAACGUGUAUGUAGAAGCAUCAAGAUCUGGAAAAUUAACUACAGAUAUCUUCAAAGUUUGGUUAGAAAAAGUAUUUUAUCCACAUGUAGGUGCUCAAUCUAUGUUAUUACUCGAUUCCUGGAGUGGACACUGUGAUAAAGUUAUAGAAGAAACGAUUCCAGAAAAUAAAAUUGUUAAUGUAAAAAAAAAUACCAACAGGAACAACAGGAAAAAUUCAACCACUUGAUGUAUAUGGAUUUCGCAUAUGGAAAAACUUUGUACGACAUUUUUCAGAUCAAGUGACUUUGAUGAAUUAUGACUUAAAUUUACAUUUGAGAAAUAACAUCAUAAAAAUGCAAUCUCUAGUUCAUAAUCAGCUUUCCUUGCCGAGAUAUAAGAAUAUGUUUAAAUAUUCCUGGUACAAAAGUGGUUACAUUAAUGAAAAACCAGAUAAAUUUGAAAAUCCUGUUGAGUUCUCUUUUGGGGAUUCUUGUAAUGUACAGAUACUUUAG